rnacentral:tRNA from 1 species
AGUGUAGAUUAGUGGUAGAGUGCUUGCCUAGCAGGCAUGAGACCCUGGGUUUGAUCCCCAGCACU